AUGCAGUUAAUCCAAGGGUUAUAUGUUCUAUAUUGGAGUACUCUGCAUUCAAAUUAUUUCAUGUGUUAUAUUAUGAGAUUGAUGUUCUUAAAAUAUGUAUUCUCAAUAAUAGUACAAAAUACAUGUCUGUGCUCCCAUGGAUCCAGGAAGUAUAAGAUGAACUCGAUAAUCUCCAAUUGGUUUCAUUAUUGCUGUCCCGGUCCUCAUGAGCGGAUAAUCUUUCUACAACGAGUAGAUGGGGGUACAUGGUUUGGGUUUCUCUGCAGAACUGAAAUAGUUUUCCGAUUACACACUUUAUCAGAACCGAGACACAGGUAG
rnacentral:rRNA from 1 species